CCUUGACAUCCAGAGAACUUAGCAGAGAUGCUUUGGUGCCUUCGGGAACUCUGAGACAGGUGCUGCAUGGCUGUCGUCAGCUCGUGUUGUGAAUGUUGGUUAAGUCCGCAACGAGCGCAACCCUUAUCCUUUGUUGCCAGCGGUUCGGCCGGGAACUCAAAGGAGACUGCCGGUGAUAAACCGGAGGAAGGUGGGGAUGACGUCAAGUCAUCAUGGCCCUUACGGCCAGGGCUACACACGUGCUACAAUGGCGCAUACAAAGAGAAGCGACCUCGCGAGAGCAAGCGGACCUCAUAAAGUGCGUCGUAGUCCGGAUUGGAGUCUGCAACUCGACUCCAUGAAGUCGGAAUCGCUAGUAAUCGUAGAUCAGAAUGCUACGGUGAAUACGUUCCCGGGCCUUGUACACACCGCCCGUCACACCAUGGGAGUGGGUUGCAAAAGAAGUAGGUAGCUUAACCUUCGGGAGGGCGCUUACCACUUUGUGAUUCAUGACUGGGGUGAAGUCGUAACAAGGUAAGCGUACGUGU
rnacentral:rRNA from 1 species